rnacentral:rRNA from 1 species
AGGGGGCCAUCCCGGCUUACCAACCCGAUGCAAACUGCGAAUACCGGAGAAUGUUAUCACGGGAGACACACGGCGGGUGCUAACGUCCGUCGUGAAGAGGGAAACAACCCAGACCGCCAGCUAAGGUCCCAAAGUCAUGGUUAAGUGGGAAACGAUGUGGGAAGGCCCAGACAGCCAGGAUGUUGGCUUAGAAGCAGCCAUCAUUUAAAGAAAGCGUAAUAGCUCACUGGUCGAGUCGGCCUGCGCGGAAGAUGUAACGGGGCUAAACCAUGCACCGAAGCUGCGGCAGCGACACUGUGUGUUGUUGGGUAGGGGAGCGUUCUGUAAGCCUGUGAAGGUGUGUCGUGAGGCAUGCUGGAGGUAUCAGAAGUGCGAAUGCUGACAUAAGUAACGAUAAAGCGGGUGAAAAGCCCGCUCGCCGGAAGACCAAGGGUUCCUGUCCAACGUUAAUCGGGGCAGGGUGAGUCGACCCCUAAGGCGAGGCCGAAAGGCGUAGUCGAUGGGAAACGGGUUAAUAUUCCCGUACUUGGUGUUACUGCGAAGGGGGGACGGAGAAGGCUAUGUUGGCCGGGCGACGGUUGUCCCGGUUUAAGCGUGUAGGUGUGUGUUCCAGGUAAAUCCGGUUCACUUUAACACUGAGGCGUGACGACGAGGCACUACGGUGCUGAAGCAACAAAUGCCCUGCUUCCAGGAAAAGCCUCUAAGCAUCAGGUAACAUCAAAUCGUACCCCAAACCGACACAGGUGGUCAGGUAGAGAAUACCAAGGCGCUUGAGAGAACUCGGGUGAAGGAACUAGGCAAAAUGGUGCCGUAACUUCGGGAGAAGGCACGCUGACACGUAGGUGAAGUGAUUUACUCAUGGAGCUGAAGUCAGUCGAAGAUACCAGCUGGCUGCAACUGUUUAUUAAAAACACAGCACUGUGCAAACACGAAAGUGGACGUAUACGGUGUGACGCCUGCCCGGUGCCGGAAGGUUAAUUGAUGGGGUCAGCGCAAGCGAAGCUCCUGAUCGAAGCCCCGGUAAACGGCGGCCGUAACUAUAACGGUCCUAAGGUAGCGAAAUUCCUUGUCGGGUAAGUUCCGACCUGCACGAAUGGCGUAAUGAUGGCCAGGCUGUCUCCACCCGAGACUCAGUGAAAUUGAACUCGCUGUGAAGAUGCAGUGUACCCGCGGCAAGACGGAAAGACCCCGUGAACCUUUACUAUAGCUUGACACUGAACAUUGAGCCUUGAUGUGUAGGAUAGGUGGGAGGCUUUGAAGUGUGGACGCCAGUCUGCAUGGAGCCGACCUUGAAAUACCACCCUUUAAUGUUUGAUGUUCUAACGUGGACCCGUUACCCGGGUUGCGGACAGUGUCUGGUGGGUAGUUUGACUGGGGCGGUCUCCUCCUAAAGAGUAACGGAGGAGCACG